rnacentral:lncRNA from 1 species
ACGUAUUCCUCAUCCAUCCCGACGGCAGCACGCUCCCCAACCCCGGCAGGCUCGUCCCGCACCCCGGUGGCCUCGUCCCCCACCCCAACGGCGGCGCCCUCUCCCACCAGGGUGUCCUCCUCGUCCACCCCGGCGGUGGCGCGCUCCUCCACUUCGGGAACCUCGUCCCCUACCCUGGCGGCGCCCCUCCCCCCACUCCGGCAUCCUCAACCAACCGGGAGCACCCAACACCCUGGAUCCGGUGGCCCUCUCCCUGACUCCGGCGAGAUCCAAGCGGGAAGGAUCGGGCGGCG